GAUGAACGCUGGCGGCGUGCCCAAUACAUGCAAGUCGAGCGAACAGACGAGGAGCUUGCUCCUCUGACGUUAGCGGCGGACGGGUGAGUAACACGUGGAUAACCUACCUAUAAGACUGGGAUAACUUCGGGAAACCGGAGCUAAUACCGGAUAACAUGUUGAACCGCAUGGUUCAACAGUGAAAGACGGUCUUUCUGUCACUUAUAGAUGGAUCCGCGCCGCAUUAGCUAGUUGGUAAGGUAACGGCUUACCAAGGCAACGAUGCGUAGCCGACCUGAGAGGGUGAUCGGCCACACUGGAACUGAGACACGGUCCAGACUCCUACGGGAGGCAGCAGUAGGGAAUCUUCCGCAAUGGGCGAAAGCCUGACGGAGCAACGCCGCGUGAGUGAAGAAGGUCUUCGGAUCGUAAAACUCUGUUAUUAGGGAAGAACAAAUGUGUAAGUAACUAUGCACGUCUUGACGGUACCUAAUCAGAAAGCCACGGCUAACUACGUG
rnacentral:rRNA from 1 species